GCCGCGCGCAUCUGGAAACUACGCCCCGCCAUGGAGCCCUCUUUUCGCGCCUGUCAUCGCGCACGCCCAAAUCCAAUCCCCCCCAGAUCUCCUUAUCCUUUCCUUCUGCGCCGCCCAAUCCCUCUGCUUUUGAGGCCUCCGACCACCAUCCCUCCAUGGCUCCCCGCCUUCCAAGGUCACCCGAGCGCCUCAACCCGCACUCUAUGAUGUGGAUCUGUACCCGCCGGCCACCACCAUCCAUGGCUCCUCCGCUAUUGGGACACGGCGUCGUCCCAUCUCCGUUCUGGAUAUCACCAUGCGACACCAACGCUUGUCCUCCUCCUCCACCAUGGCCCUGCUCAGACCACGCCGCCAUCGAUGCCACCGUUGAGAAUCCACCCCAACUCGAGCAGUUCACCGGCGUCAUGGAGGAAGCGCUAAGCAGCUGCAUUGCAAAUAUGAGGAACAUCAUCCGUGCAAGAAGUUCAGAUUCACUCGACGGCAAGAAAUAGUGUCAUAUUUUUCUUCCAAAUAGUAUGUACCAUUCCCCACAUUGAUACUUAUGAUCACCCAUUUGAUAUCUCCUUUUCCUAGUUACAGUUCAUCCAGGUCAGGAGUAGGAUUUAAGGUUCAUGAUCCAACUAUAAGAGACGUGUAAAAUCCUUUGCCCUUGACAUGAUCAUGCUAUCUUCAAUAUGCUCAAGAACAUCUGAAAUGCACCUAGACAUUAUAUUUCAAAGUAUUGACAAUGAAACUGUACCAGGAAAGGAUUAUUACCAGCAGCUAUGCUCAAGAUAUGAAUGCUCUGUUAUAACAAUGAACAAGCUAGGGAUACGUUCAGGGGCUCCUAUCAUGGGCCAUACUAUAUGUCAUCUUAAUUUAGUUACUCCUUUUACUACUUGCUUCUUGGAAUUUCCUAUUCUCUUGUUAUCCUCCCUCCGUUCCGAAUUACUUGUCGUAGAAAUGGAUGUAUCUAGACAUUUUUUUCCAUUUCUAUGACAAGUAAUUCCGAACGGAGGGAGUAGUACUUAACAGUUCUAGUGCAUUCCUCAUAUUUAAGCUCACCGUGUUCUUCCUUCUCCCUUAAGUUGUAUUUGGUUUCUCUUUCUUAUAUUAAAGAUUGAACAAUUGCAGUGCAAGCACACAAUUGGAUGUUCCUGCUGGAGAAGGUUUUUGGGAAGAAUUAAACGAACAUCAUCAGUGCAACAUAGAGGCUGAAGCAGGUGGUUGAGUUCGCAAUUCAUUCUUAUUAGGAGAAAAAUUCAAGAUCACGUAUCUGUGAGAUAUGCAAGAGCCUCCAAUCAAGGGUAACCUUGAAGGGAAGUUUGCAACUUAAGCUGCAACCAAAGAUUAUAGAAAAUGAGGUCUCUUCUUGUGUAUAUUUAGUUGAUGCACUUGUGUGUUUUUAGAUGUUGCACCUCUGUUUCCAUUGACCUUCGAUUCAUGUACGUAAAUUCUAUGGAACUGUAUCCGAAGACAUGUGAAUUUGUAUCUCUGGUUCAUGGAAACAAUUGAUAGUGAUGUUUCUAUGUUAUAAAUAUUCUGAGUUAUGGAAUAGUUAUGUAUAAAACCAUUGAUAUUUUUUUUGUUUA